AUUGAACGCUGGCGGCAGGCCUAACACAUGCAAGUCGAGCGGAUGAGUGGAGCUUGCUCCAUGAUUCAGCGGCGGACGGGUGAGUAAUGCCUAGGAAUCUGCCUGGUAGUGGGGGACAACGUUUCGAAAGGAACGCUAAUACCGCAUACGUCCUACGGGAGAAAGCAGGGGACCUUCGGGACUUGCGCUAUCAGAUGAGCCUAGGUCGGAUUAGCUAGUAGGUGAGGUAAAGGCUCACCUAGGCGACGAUCCGUAACUGGUCUGAGAGGAUGAUCAGUCACACUGGAACUGAGACACGGUCCAGACUCCUACGGGAGGCAGCAGUGGGGAAUAUUGGACAAUGGGCGAAAGCCUGAUCCAGCCAUGCCGCGUGUGUGAAGAAGGCCUUCGGGUUGUAAAGCACUUUCAGUAGGGAGGAAGAGUUGAGUGUUAAUAGUACUCAGCUUUGACGUUACCUACAGAAGAAGCACCGGCUAACUCUGUGCCAGCCGCCGCAGUAACAC
rnacentral:rRNA from 1 species